AGGAGCGGGCAAAGGCAGGUCAGUAUGCCCCGAAACCCCUGGGCUACACGCGGGCUGCAAUGGUAUGAACAAUGGGCUGUGACUCCGAAAGGAGAAACCAAUCCCGAAAUCAUAUCUCAGUUGGAAUUGUCGGCUGUAACCCGCCGACAUGAACGCGGAAUCCCUAGUAAUCGUGUGUCAUCAACGCACGGUGAAUACGUCUCUGCUCCUUGCACACACCGCCCGUCGCUCCAUCCGAGUGUGCUAAAAAUGAGGUUUGGUCAAUUUGGUCAUAUCGAGUUUCUAGUAUGCGAGGAGGGAGAAGUCGUAACAAGGUAGCCAGCCUUACGAGGCGCAGCAGGCGCGAAACCUCCGCAAUACACGAAAGUGUGACGGGGUUACCCAAAGUGUUCAAUAGAACUGUGGUAGGUGAGUAAUGUUCCCUACUAGAAAGGAGAGGGCAAGGCUGGUGCCAGCCGCCGCGGUAAAACCAGCUCUUCAAGUGGUCGGGAUAAUUAUUGGGCUUAAAGUGUCCGUAGCCGGUUUAGUAAGUUCCUGGUAAAAUCGGGUAGCUUAACUAUCUAUAUGCUAGGAAUACUACUAUACUAGAGGGCGGGAGAGGUCUGAGGUACU
rnacentral:rRNA from 1 species